rnacentral:rRNA from 1 species
CAGUAGCCACGGUAAUACGUAGGUGGCAAGCAUUGUCCGGAAUUAUUGGGCGUAAAGGGCACGCAGGCGGUUUCUUAAGUCUGAUGUGAAAGCCCCCGGCUCAACCGGGGAGGGUCAUUGGAAACUGGGAAACUUGAGUGCAGAAGAGGAGAGUGGAAUUCCACGUGUAGCGGUGAAAUGCGUAGAGAUGUGGAGGAACACCAGUGACGAAGGCGACUCUCUGGUCUGCAACUGACGCUGAGGAGCGAAAGCGUGGGGAGCGAACAGGAUUAGAUACCCGCGUAGUCCCUGUCUCUUAUAC